GACGUAGGGGGCGAGCGUUGUCCGGAAUUAUUGGGCGUAAAGCGCGCGCAGGUGGUUCUUUAAGUCUGAUGUGAAAUCUCGCGGCUCAACCGCGAGCGGUCAUUGGAAACUGGGGAACUUGAGUGCAGAAGAGGAAAGUGGAAUUCCACGUGUAGCGGUGAAAUGCGUAGAGAUGUGGAGGAACACCAGUGGCGAAGGCGACUUUCUGGUCUGUAACUGACACUGAGGCGCGAAAGCGUGGGGAGCGAACAGG
rnacentral:rRNA from 1 species